AUAAGAGCGAUGAAGAGAAGAGUACCUUUCGAUCGUCAUUCCAGAGAGCCCCGGCAGGUGAAAAGGGGUAUGAUGAAAAGAAGCGAAGAUGGUCUCGGAGCAAAGCAAUGCGGAUAGUGUUGCUUCGGUUUGUGCACGAUAGCGCACAGGAGUAUAACAAGCGUCAGCUUGCGUACUUUUAAAGGUAUGGAUCGCGAGGUCCCUACGAACAUGGGUGGUAACACGAAGAGCUUUCGUCCCUGUA
rnacentral:ncRNA from 1 species